AUACGAAGGUCCCAAGCGUUAUUCGGAAUCACUGGGCGUAAAGAGUACGUAGGCGGUUUGGUAAGUCAGGUGUGAAAUCCCGAAGCUCAACUUCGGAACUGCAUCCGAUACUGCCAGACUCGAGUAAUGGAGAGGCAGGUGGAAUUCUCGGUGUAGCAGUGAAAUGCGUGGAUAUCGAGAGGAAGACCAAUGGCGAAGGCAGCCUGCUGGACAUUUACUGACGCUGAGGUACGAAGGCUAGGGGAGCGAAAGGGAUUAGAAACCCCAGUAGUCC
rnacentral:rRNA from 1 species